CUUUUAGGUAAGUAUCCUGCACUAUCUCCAGUUCUAACUAUGACCAGCAUCCUCUCUUUUCUCUAGCCUAUACUCAUUAGGUCGUUAUUAUAUGCUAAACCGCUUUCAAUUGUACAUUGGUUUAUUGUAUUCUAGGUGUGUCACUUACUCUACAUACCACACAGUUAAUUAUCAUAAGUUAGAGCUUGCACUUAAAUUGGAAGUCAGUUCACUGCAUUUACUUUGAUUUUUCUC